GAACCUGGGAGGGGAGAGAAGAGGCAGUCAGAGAGAAGAGCCACAGAGGCUGCUCCUCCAGCCCCAGCCUUGCCCACCUCAUCCCUGAAAGAAGAGUGUGAGGCAAGCUGGAUGCAGGAUGUCACACGCAGUGAGAGGCAAACAAAUGCAAAAGGCAGCGUCUCAUGCAACAGUACCAACAGAACAGCGCUACCAACAGAACAGCCGAACCAACAGAACAACGGUACCGACAGAACAACAGAGUCGGUUUUUUACUUCUUUGCACGCUUGACAGAUUUCAACAGUAACAGUAUUGCAUACAUUGAAUGUUUCAAAGCAUCUUACUUAUUACUUGAUCUCUAGUGUGAGAAACAUAGAUAAUGACUAACUGGACCCUUGUUGCAUCUAUAAAAUACUGCAGAGAACAAACAAAUAAUUCUACAGUAUUUCUUUAUCACAAA